CCCGAAACCAGGUGAUCUACCCUUGGUCAGGUUGAAGUUCAGGUAACACUGAAUGGAGGACCGAACCGACUUACGUUGAAAAGUGAGCGGAUGAACUGAGGGUAGCGGAGAAAUUCCAAUCGAACCUGGAGAUAGCUGGUUCUCUCCGAAAUAGCUUUAGGGCUAGCCUCAAGUGAUGAUUAUUGGAGGUAGAGCACUGUUUGGACGAGGGGCCCCUCUCGGGUUACCGAAUUCAGACAAACUCCGAAUGCCAAUUAAUUUAACUUGGGAGUCAGAACAUGGGUGAUAAGGUCCGUGUUCGAAAGGGAAACAGCCCAGACCACCAGCUAAGGUCCCAAAAUAUAUGUUAAGUGGAAAAGGAUGUGGCGUUGCCCAGACAACUAGGAUGUUGGCUUAGAAGCAGCCAUCAUUUAAAGAGUGCGUAAUAGCUCACUAGUCGAGUGACACUGCGCCGAAAAUGUACCGGGGCUAAACAUAUUACCGAAGCUGUGGAUUGUCCUUUGGACAAUGGUAGGAGAGCGUUCUAAGGGCGUUGAAGCAUGAUCGUAAGGACAUGUGGAGCGCUUAGAAGUGAGAAUGCCGGUGUGAGUAGCGAAAGACGGGUGAGAAUCCCGUCCACCGAUUGACUAAGGUUUCCAGAGGAAGGCUCGUCCGCUCUGGGUUAGUCGGGUCCUAAGCUGAGGCCGACAGGCGUAGGCGAUGGAUAACAGGUUGAUAUUCCUGUACCACCUAUAAUCGUUUUAAUCGAUGGGGGGACGCAGUAGGAUAGGCGAAGCGUGCGAUUGGAUUGCACGUCUAAGCAGUAAGGCUGAGUAUUAGGCAAAUCCGGUACUCGUUAAGGCUGAGCUGUGAUGGGGAGAAGACAUUGUGUCUUCGAGUCGUUGAUUUCACACUGCCGAGAAAAGCCUCUAGAUAGAAAAUAGGUGCCCGUACCGCAAACCGACACAGGUAGUCAAGAUGAGAAUUCUAAGGUGAGCGAGCGAACUCUCGUUAAGGAACUCGGCAAAAUGACCCCGUAACUUCGGGAGAAGGGGUGCUCUUUAGGGUUAACGCCCAGAAGAGCCGCAGUGAAUAGGCCCAAGCGACUGUUUAUCAAAAACACAGGUCUCUGCUAAACCGUAAGGUGAUGUAUAGGGGCUGACGCCUGCCCGGUGCUGGAAGGUUAAGAGGAGUGGUUAGCUUCUGCGAAGCUACGAAUCGAAGCCCCAGUAAACGGCGGCCGUAACUAUAACGGUCCUAAGGUAGCGAAAUUCCUUGUCGGGUAAGUUCCGACCCGCACGAAAGGCGUAACGAUUUGGGCACUGUCUCAACGAGAGACUCGGUGAAAUCAUAGUACCUGUGAAGAUGCAGGUUACCCGCGACAGGACGGAAAGACCCCGUGGAGCUUUACUGUAGCCUGAUAUUGAAAUUCGGCACAGCUUGUACAGGAUAGGUAGGAGCCUUUGAAACGUGAGCGCUAGCUUACGUGGAGGCGCUGGUGGGAUACUACCCUAGCUGUGUUGGCUUUCUAACCCGCACCACUUAUCGUGGUGGGAGACAGUGUCAGGCGGGCAGUUUGACUGGGGCGGUCGCCUCCUAAAAGGUAACGGAGGCGCUCAAAGGUUCCCUCAGAAUGGUUGGAAAUCAUUCAUAGAGUGUAAAGGCAUAAGGGAGCUUGACUGCGAGACCUACAAGUCGAGCAGGGUCGAAAGACGGACUUAGUGAUCCGGUGGUU
rnacentral:rRNA from 1 species